GCCUUCGUGGUGUAGUGGUCAGCAAGCUCGGCGCGUAACCGAGAGGUCCGUGGUUCGAUUCCCGGCAAAGGUG
rnacentral:tRNA from 1 species